rnacentral:rRNA from 1 species
UCAGACUCGCGGCACCGAGCUCAGUAACACGUGGCCAAACUACCCUACAGAGACGGAUACCCUCGGGAAACUGAGGUUAACCCGUCAUACCGAUCUCAGGCUUGAAUCGCAGAGAUCACAAAAUGCCCCGGCGCUGUAGGAUGUGGCUGCGGUUGAUUAGGUAGACGGUGGGGUAAUGGCCCACCGUGCCCAUAAUCAGUACAGGUUGUGAGAGCAAGAACCUGGAGACGGAAUCUGAGACAAGAUUCCGGGCCCUACGGGGCGCAGCAGGCGCGAAACCUUUACACUGCACGCACGUGCGAUAAGGGGACUCCGAGUGCGAGGGCAUAUCGUCCUCGCUUUCGUGUACCGUAGGGUGGUACACCAACAAGGGCUGGGCAAGACCGGUGCCAGCCGCCGCGGUAAUACCGGCAGCCCGAGUGAUGGCCGAUCUUAUUGGGCCUAAAGCGUCCGUAGCUGGCUGCGCAAGUCCGUCGGGAAAUCCACUCGCUCAACGAGUGGGCGUCCGACGGAAACUGCACAGCUUGGGACCGGAAGGCUCGAAGGGUACGUUCGGGGUAGGAGUGAAAUCCCAUAAUCCCGCACGGACCACCGAUGGCGAAAGCACUUCGAGAAAACGGAUCCGACAGUGAGGGACGAAAGCCAGGGUCUCCAACCGGAUUAGAUACCCGGGUAGUCCUGGCCGUAAACAAUGUUCGCUAGGUAUGACACAGACUACGUGUCUCUGUUGUGCCGUAGGGAAGCCG